UGUGUUAGUAGCUCAGCACCUAGAGCUCCG
rnacentral:tRNA from 1 species